UCUCUCUCUCUCUCUCUCUCUCUCUCUCUCUCAAUUGAAUGGAAACAGAUCUGCUCUUGAACCCUAAACAACCAGUGAACCCCACAGGAGCAACGACCCGACACUGGUGAGGAAGACGAUGAUCAGUAUCCCCAGGGUUUUGGCAUCGGAGAAGGUGUGGCCGUAGACGUAGAGGCGACAAGGAGGGAGACGAGGGUGAGGAGAGAGAACGUGUGAGAGAGGAGCAAAAAGGCAAGGGCGAAACUAGGAGGCGUUCUUGCGGACGAUGGAGGAGGCGAUGGUGAGGGUGUCAGACCGGGAGAAGACGACGUGGUCGGCAAGCUCCGGCUAGGGGCGGCAAACGUGUGCAAGGCCGUGGCCAGAAAACCCCUUUUGGUUUAAUUUCAAAUCUGAAGAUGGUAAGAAAGUGGCAACUCAAGUUCUUUUUUCAAGAGAUGGAACAUGGGUUUUCUUGCACAUCGAGUAGAUAGCCCAACUGAAACUCGAAAGAAAUCAGGUGAUUUAUUUCUAGAAACCAAGCUAAAAACCAUGAUGGAAGAGGAACAAAUAGAAUUCGAGCCCAAUGAAGAGGAAUCGGUGAUAAAACUGGAAAAGGCUUUGGUUGAGUUAAACCCAACACUGCCACUGGUUAGUUUCAAAAGGUAAAAAAUUUCAACGAAAGUAUUGCAUUCAAUGAAGUUUGCGUAAAGUGUGGUUUGUUUGUUGGAUCCACAAUAGAUUAAGCCAUUUAAUUUAGUAUCUUCAUUUGGUCUCUUGCUUCAGGGUAUUUGGGUGCUUUUAGUUCUUUCCAAUUGAGUGAGUUCUGUAGCCCUUGAGGCGAUUAUCCGGAUCAAAAAAAAUUUGAGUGAGUUCGGUAUGAUCAAAAAAAUUUUAGUGAGGUCUAUAUGUGUAAUCAGGGAAAAAAUGCUUCGAGCAGCGCGACGCGCCCAAUUUCAGCGGUGCAGAGGUCAUGGUUAUGCCAUUUUUCGGUUAAUGUGUUCCAUGAUAUGGUUCUCUUUGAACUCUAUGAUAACACACUUGAGAUAAAUUUCAAUGAAAGUAUUGCAUUUAAUGAAGUAUCACUUAAGAUAAUGCCAGUGUUCUAAAACUCGGUAUUCCUCAUCGAGUACUCACUCCAAGGUGCCUGGCCGAGGGGACUAAUCCCCUUCUCGGUGGGCAUUACUCAUCGAGUACUCACCGACUAAUGCCGAGUACUCACUCUAAGGUACCUAGCCGAGCGAGUACUGAAUAGCGAGUUUUAGAACACUGGAUAAUGCACAUGAAUUUAAAAUUCAAACAUCUCACUGCCUCCCAAACCUUUUUUAUUUUUUCUUUCCAGGAAUGAAGCUAUGACUGAGCUAUGAUGUGAAAUUACUAGAGGUAAUUUCUUUGAAAUUAUUUUCCUACAUAAUAAGGGUUUGUUUAUCUUACAGUUUAUUUCUGACCCUAUGUGACUAUAGUUUGCAGGAAUGAAUCUGUGUAUAUUUUGGUCAUUGAUAUAAAAAGAGGUAAAGAAGUUUGUGCUUCAUGAUCUUCACUGAUACAAACCAUGGAUGGUUUGUUUCUAAAACUUCCUUCAGACCCAACAUUCUUCCUUUUUGACAAAAAAAUGUCCACAAUAUCGCAUCGAUAACAUUACGUCGGUUGUUACGAUUAUUUCUGCAUUUAGUGAAAACUAAAAAAUGACGCCUUUUUUGUAGAUGAAAUGAUGCCAGCAUGACAUUUUGGACACUUUCCUAAAAAAUUAAUAAUUUGGACUUCAGAGUAUGUUUCAUCGGGUGCCACUUCUCUGAUUGGGGUAUCUAUUUGUCUCUCUUCUUGGCUAGCAGGGAUGCCGUACAUCUUUCGGGACUGCUUUGUGGUUGGGCUGCCAUUUAGUUGUUUUUGCUGCUGCAUUUGUUGUUGUUGGUUGCAUCUGUUGUAGUGCCUUUGUUUUGCUGUCUGUUUUCCAUUGUUACUGGGUGGCUGAGGCAUAGACUUUGGUGCAAAACCACAUCAACUGGAGUUACUGAAGGGAGUUCCAAUCACUAGUACAAUGUCACUUGCAUCUAUUUUUAACAUACACGUAAAUAGUAUAAUGAUGUGGCUGAUUUCUAGCUAGUAAAACAUCUCUUGCAUCUAUUUUUACUAUACACAUGAAUAGAUAUAAUGUUGUCACCAAUUUCUAGCUGGUGUGGAAUGCACAGUUUAAUAGAUCACGCCAGGCAAAACUAAAAAAAUUAUUUAUGCAAAAGGUUUAGUUGGUGGUGGUUUCAACUUGGAACCCUUGACUGUUAGAUCUUGGAAAAACGAAAAAAAUUGUCCAACAACAUCUAAUAUGCAAAAUGUAUAAAAAUAAGACCUAGAUUAACCCUCACAGUAGUCAUGUCAUGCCAUUGGGGUGCCCCGUAUUACAUUUGAUGCUUUUUCCUAUUCAUUUGUCCAUGGUCAUUGGUCAUUAUGAAUGGUACAUUAAGCUAAUUGAAAAGGCUGCAAUAGCAAGCUUAUGAGGUUUUGUUUGCACACUAAAUUUGAGUUUUAAUUGUUCGUCGUCUUUAUGAAUGGUUUGUUUAUUGGUUGUAUUGUCCAGGGACUGAGAUAUUGGAUAUAGUUUCAUGGAAAUGAUGGUCUUAAGGUUUAUUUACUUCUUUAAGGUUUGUUUAGGAAUAACUUCCGGUUAGAGCCAUUACUUGUUCUGUUCUCAAACUUGGUGUCUUUGGUUGAUAUACUUGUCAUUGAGUGACUUACAAUUUUCUUGCAUAAUGCGGUUUAACAUGAAAUUGACUACUUCAAAAUUAAUUGCUUGCUUUGGUGGAGUACAUUGGGUUAACAGUUACAUGACUGCGUGAGCAUGAAGGCUAAACUUCGGGGGGUUAGCCCUAAGACUUGGAUACAUCUAGGGACAAGGACUGACUCAAGUAGAAAUAGGGGGCUGAAAGCGGUGAAUUUGAUCAAAGAAAACCAACUUCGUAGCAAUUUGAUCAAGGAAUGCAAGAUCAUGAUGUAUUGUAGAAACAGGCUAACAACUCUAAAAACAACUCCAUGAGAGGGCAACAAAUUGACUAUGUCUUGGAAGAUAUAGGAAUUGAACGGAAAGAAAUGGUUUCCUUUGAAACCCCACAACUCUUUGUUCACAAGAAAAAUCUCCUUGCAACUGAUAGUGCAGGGGUUACAUUUGAGAGGACAUGUGGCCUUCUCUAUUUUGUUUUUGUUUUCUUCCUAUCUUUUAUGUUUUUGUUUUGGUCAUUUCCUCUUAUGGUCAUGUGUUGUAUGUUGCAUUGAUUUGGUUGUUGGCUUCAAUCAAAAUGGAAGAGAAAGUGAGCAGAUGCACAAUAUGAAUUCAUGUAGAAAUCCAAUCUGAUUGUAAUACAUUCCUAUCUUAAAUAGUAAAUACACUCUAAAUUUGUAAGUAGUGCUGUGAGCACGAAUAAUUGGUUUGUUUUUCAUGGUGAUAAAAUUAUGUUGGUAUGUGCCUUUGGGUACGAUUAGUUUGUUCACACAUAACUAAGGUCACUCGAAUAUGUUUGGGUUAUUAUUUUUUACAUAGUUGAAUUCAUUGGGUAGUGGAUGAUAUAUUGCACAUGAGUUCAAUGUUUAUUUGCGUGUGCCGAUCGUUCGACCCGUGCCUGCAGGCAUGGGCAUGCACUAGGGUAUGAAUAAGGGGAAGCUUUAAAAAAAGAAGAAGGUUAUUACAAGUACGGAGUAUCAUUUUAUUAUGUUCAAAAUCGAGGGCAUGACAAUUUGGGACAAACGUAAUGCUGAGGAGGAGACUGUAUAGCUGGAAACCUCAAAACCUAAUUCAGCCAUAGGAUUUAUGAGUGAAAAUUUUGGGUCGUUAGAUUCAUGUACAUAAGAUUCAAAAAAUGAGCUAGCUUAUUAUAUAGAAGAUAUUGUAGAUCAAUAUAGAUAAUAUGUUAAACUGAGAUAGUGUUGUACUGAUAGUAGUUUUUAGUGUUUUUUGGAAUAUACUUAGAGUAGAUAAAAUCAGAUGAUGUCAUCUUUUAUGUUUUUCUGAACAGACAAUCACAAAUAACUUUAUUUGUCCUCUAACUUUAAUUGUCCUCUUAUGUUGGGAGAUAUACAAACCAGAUUAAUACAGAUAUGGUUAUUUGAUAUGUUUUUCUUGGAGACACGGGGAACAGUUAAACAUAGACAAUUUGUUCUUUAAUGG